rnacentral:lncRNA from 1 species
UAAAAGAGGAGAAUCAACUCCAUCAACCGGGUGGCCAUCCCUCUUUUGAUGCAAACUAGGAUAUGGCUGGCUUUCUGGAAUGCAGCUGCACAUGGGAAAACAUACUGCCAUACUGCACAGUGUCAUAGAAGACUUCUCUUUGUAUUGCCAGCAGAUUGCAAAGCAUGUUUAAGAGCCCAUUUGGGAACAUGUCAAUUUCAAAAAUGGAAAAUGAGUUCCUUAGCUUCAUUUCAUUUUAGUUAUGGCCUUGCAAUGUUACCCAUGAGAUAAUGUGCUCCUGUUUUUGUUUGCCACUCUCAGACAGUCACCUCUGUGGGAUCAUGCAUAAUGUAUUUUAAGAAUAAAAUACAACAACAAAAAGAACCCA